rnacentral:piRNA from 1 species
ACCAUUUAUUUCUCCCGACCGGAAGGUGGCC